GGGAGGCUUGUAGGCGCUGUAGCGCUCGAUAGUGUAAAGGGCCCGGGAAAAUGGCCUGUAUGGAAGCCGCCAAGAGGCCGACCACUCUCGCCAAUUGUUUUAGGGAGAUCAGGGGGGUCGUCAGAGUACGCCUGAUUUCCUUCUUCAUGGUGGUCAGUUUCGCUGCCGGCAGUUGUAGGGUCUGUAGAGUGGAGUCCACUAUGAGGCCCAAAAACUCUAUGUGUCGUGUAGGGGUUAGGAUGGAUUUUUUCCAAUUGAUAAGGAAACCCAAAUUUUGCAAAAGAGUCUGAGUCCAUGACAGAUGGGUGUCGAGAAUGUGGUUGGAACGACCCAUGAUAAGGAUGUCGUCCAAGUAGAUUAUGAGACGAAC